rnacentral:rRNA from 1 species
AUUGAACGCUGGCGGCAGGCCUAACACAUGCAAGUCGAACGGUAACAGGAAGAAGCUUGCUUCUUUGCUGACGAGUGGCGGACGGGUGAGUAAUGUCUGGGAAACUGCCUGAUGGAGGGGGAUAACUACUGGAAACGGUAGCUAAUACCGCAUAACGUCGCAAGACCAAAGAGGGGGACCUUCGGGCCUCUUGCCAUCGGAUGUGCCCAGAUGGGAUUAGCUAGUAGGUGGGGUAACGGCUCACCUAGGCGACGAUCCCUAGCUGGUCUGAGAGGAUGACCAGCCACACUGGAACUGAGACACGGUCCAGACUCCUACGGGAGGCAGCAGUGGGGAAUAUUGCACAAUGGGCGCAAGCCUGAUGCAGCCAUGCCGCGUGUAUGAAGAAGGCCUUCGGGUUGUAAAGUACUUUCAGCGGGGAGGAAGGGAGUAAAGUUAAUCCCUUUGCUCAUUGACGUUACCCGCAGAAGAAGCCCCGGCUAACUCCGUG